rnacentral:rRNA from 1 species
UACGUAGGUGGCAAGCGUUGUCCGGAAUUACUGGGCGUAAAGGGCGCGUAGGCGGCCUGUUAAGUCGAACGUGAAAUCCCCGGGCUCAACCCGGGAACUGCGUCCGAUACUGGCAGGCUUGAAUCCGGGAGAGGGAUGCGGAAUUCCAGGUGUAGCGGUGAAAUGCGUAGAUAUCUGGAGGAACACCGGUGGCGAAGGCGGCAUCCUGGACCGGCAUUGACGCUGAGGCGCGAAAGCCAGGGGAGCAAACGGG